AAAAAUGUCACCCUGCGUUUUGGUGCCCACUUCUUUGUCUGGGAAGCAGAAGGCUGGGAUUCUGUCCGGACAGCCCCCUUUAAAGACCCAGACCCGGGAACGCCUCCGGUUUCAGCAGCUCACUCCGCUGAGUUAUUGACUGUAGGCAGCAGCAAUCCCUCAGGUUGAUUUGUGUGGAAAGUGAAUCCUCGCUGGCUAGGCGUUCAGCAGAGGCGCAACAGCCGCCGAGCCAGCCAAUUAUUGCCGGCCCUCCCCUCUAACACAGCUCUCGGUACCUACACAUUCUUCUCUGGGUCGGUCUCCCCCAACCCACUUUCCCGCGCGGACGGAGCUGAGGGGGCGGGGGGCUCCCUCCCCGGAGCGUUUCUAAAGCUCGGAGGCAGCUCUAGGGGUGUGACAGUCCACAUGUUUAAGUCUAAUAGAAGGCAAAAAAAUCACUGGAUAUGAAGUUGGGACACAGACCCAAGCCUGCAUCUACAUCCUCACAUUGAUGAUCUUAGGGCACCACUUUCAGAUAAAAACAUAGACCUGAAUGGCAUCAUCCAGUAUCCAAGGAAACCAUAAGAGAUGUGCCUGAGGUGAGUACCCUGGAACGUAAUCCACCAUGGCCAGGGUGCUGUACGUAGGAGCCUUCUAAUCUGCCAUGUCCAGAAGUAUGUGAAAAUCCAGGAUGGAGCUGAAUUAUAUCCUCCUGGUUCAUACCCAGAAGGUCUCUAAGACCACGAUGACAGGAAAAUCUUCAGUGGUUCGAGAGACAAGCUGCUGGAAAUCCUGCACAUUUGUUCUAGAAGGAAGUGAGCUGAUAAGGAGAAUGAUCCCUUCUGAGAGAUCACCUCUUUUAAAAACUUUUAAAGGACUCCAAAUUAAGCCAUGUCCAUUUCUGGGACCCAUUUCCAUAUCCAUAUGACAAAAGCCAGUGUCACUUGCUUAAUGUUAGGUGAUUUCAAAAGCCUUCAUAAAGAGAGAGCAAAGGUGGGGAGGGAGAUAGUGAAUUGUGAGAACCUGUCAAAUAAUGGGACAUCUCUUUCAUUCCAAGCAUCAUGUUCUAUUUCACUUUGUAUUAUGAUUUAAGAAAAAGGAGAGAAAAAUGUGUCUUUUUUAAAAAAGGUAUUUUUUGCUAUUAAUAUUCAGUACUUCAUAUCUGAGUACUGAUCCAUCAUUCAUUACGUCUAGGGUAGAUCACAACCUAAUUUACAAAUUCAAAAGCGUAAGUCAGAUCAACUGCUCAAGGCCAUAUAUUUGCAAGAUAGAAUAUGCACUGAAAAUUUCCUGUCCUUGGACUGGUGUACUAGGCAAUGCUGGUUUUCUGUAAGAAUUUGUUCAUAUCUUAGAUUUAACUCAAUUUUGCUUAUCAGUUGAAAAUGUUCAACUUACAUCCACUUAUGUAAUGUAAAGUGUAAAUUUGAGCAGUGAUCUAGAAAGUUCAGGGCAAAGUAGUUUAAAUCAUUUGGCUCUUCCUAGAGGUUCUGAUUUUUUUCUUAACCUAAAAAAAUAGUUAAUUAUGUGAUAGCUUUAGAUCUGAAAUAUAUCUGACACGUUAUUUUUAUUUGUUUGGUUUUCAGAAAUCAUAUCCAUAUUUUCUACUCUGUAGUCUUUAGCAAAAUGAAUCAAAGCCACUCUGUACCCAAAGCUAACACCAGUGUUAUCUUUUUUUUUUUUUAAACAUUGCAGGGCUUUACCUCAAGUGCUAUGCAGUAAAUUUACAGGGAAAGAAAAUUUCUAUUAAAUUAUAACUGAGAGAAGCUGAUUUUAUUUUACAUAGCAAACAAAAAAUUCCUUCAUGAAAGGCUAUAAAACCCGUAUUAUUUACUGGAGAGACCUUUCCUGUCUCCCAGGUAAACACUUACAGUGUGUAGACUUGUGUAAAUACAUAUUUAGGAGUGGCUAAAUAUGGUGAGGUAUUUUUAAAGGCAUAUUUACAAAGCUGAAUACAUAUACUGGCAAUUUGGUAUGUGUGAGCUGUGUAUGCUGCUCUGCUGUCUAUUCAGAAUCCUAGCAGGGCGCGGGUAGGUACACCUUGGAUAUAGGGACCAAGUUUCAAAACAUUCAUCUUUAAUCAAAAUUACUAAAGACAGGUCCUUAAAUCAUUUCAAAAGGGUGAAAAUUUUCAACUAAUGGAGUUUCUUGUCAGUUUGACUUGAGGAAAAUUGUUUCAGAAAUGCAGGCAUCGUUCACAGAAAUAAAUCUCCUUUCUGAACAUCUUUGUGCAUAACAUAACCAUCAUUUUACAUUCAGCUCAGAAUAUUAGCACAUACUCAAAGAUACAGUCCAUGAUGAAUGAAUCAACUAGGAAGUUUUAGUUAAGGCGGAAAAUGCCAUUAAGAUGUUUUUAAAAAUACUUCUGAAACACACGGAAAUGUAGGUGAUAAAAUCUGCCUGUUGUUAAUUCAAUGGCAGGAAGCUUCCUAUGAUAAUGCAGCGAAACUCCGUCUACAGGAUUCACAGUGUCUUUGUGCUGCUGGCUUCUUGGGAAUGUGUUCUCUAUGAGGAAGAGAAUGAGAUAGGAACAGAGAGGUUGUAGGUGCAUGAAAGAACACUAACUGUGCCUCCGCUGUCUGCUGUCCCUCAGAAUGAAUAAGGAUCCCAUUUGCGUAAAAGCCCUUUUAAAGAUGGAGAAGUUGAGAGCUUGGCUAUCUCGUAUCUUUUGCUAAGAAGUCUAAACAAUGCUUCUGUUUCAUUUCUAAUGCAAUAUACAGCUAUUUUUAAAUACUCUCAAUAUCUUGCAAUGGGAUUAUUGAAAAUCUUAUAAUGGUAAGCUAUACGAGGGACAAAAACCAUUCAGACUAUUCAGGGAAAUAAUUUCUCCAAUAAAAUUUGCACUGAAAUGAGGUUUUUUUUUAACAUUACAGAAAUAUACAUCACAUGUAAAUAUUUUUUCCCAAAGUACAAAUGCCACAAAUUUUGAUUAAACAUUCUGUGUUCUAAAACUUUAAAUAUCACCUUAAUUUAAAAUAUUAUUCUAGUGCUAUAAGGCCUCUGGAGUGUAGAAGCUUAUAAUAAAAUUGCUGACACAAUUUUAUCUUUAACUGUGAAUGGGUUCACUCUAUACAUAUUACUUAUACCAGUAUUUUAGCAAACAAGCUUUCCUAGCAAAAGACAAUCUUCCUUUAAUUUUUUUUUUUAAGAUACGAGCAGGCAGAAACACCUUUGCCUUAAAAUUUUUAUUAGUUUUAUCCCAUCUUUAAUUUUAUUCUGUGGCUAAGUAUAUCAUUUCCAUGUAAACUUCCAUUAGGAACACAAAUUGCUGACACCACAUCUACCGACAGAAAUGCCACAACAUAAAUUACACCAAGAAAAUGCCGCUUUGGGUGGAGGGCAUGGCAAAGAGAACUAAGCUAGAUAAAAAGCCACUGUGUUACUGCCCAGCCUGCAACCCUGUCCCGCUGACCACUGAUAAAAUUUAUCACAGGGCCACAAACGGGAAGGCAACUUAAAGAAGAGCCAUCUGUGGUAAAACGUGUAACAGCAAAACAGCUAAUGGAGCAUUAUUACUUUAUUGGAAAGCAGUAUCUCUGGAUGCUUCACUUUUCCAGCUUUAGCAAGAAUAUGAAUUGUUCUUCUAUAUGCAUAAGAGCUGAUAUGAAAAAGGAGUUGACAGACCUCUGAAUGGUGGCAAUAGGUGCCUCCGAGGCUCACCAGUUCACCACUCUCUGUCCGGGUUGCUUAAUCAGCAGAGGAGUAAACGAGUUCCAACAAAGUUAAAACCGAUCUGAAUCUUCAUUAUUAAAAGAAUGCUGACGUAGAAUGUUAAUGGUCACCUUAUAAAGAAGCAGUCUUGUAAAUUCUGGCUAAUUAUUGUCAUCAUAAUUCAGCCCUGGCAUUAGUAGAAAGUGUAACUAUGUAAAUACCACCAAUAAAAGGCAUCUAGUUUACCAAAAA